GACGAACGCUGGCGGCGUGCUUAACACAUGCAAGUCGAACGGUGAAGGGAUCAGCUUGCUGGUUCUGGAUGAGUGGCGAACGGGUGAGUAACACGUGAGUAACCUGCCCCCUUCUUCUGGAUAACCUCAUGAAAGUGUGGCUAAUACGGGAUAUUCUGCGCCUGCUGCAUGGUGGGUGUGGGAAGGAUAUUGUUUCGUUGGGGGAUGGGCUCGCGGCCUAUCAGCUUGUUGGUGGGGUGAUGGCCUACCAAGGCGGUGACGGGUAGCCGGCCUGAGAGGGUGGACGGUCACACUGGGACUGAGACACGGCCCAGACUCGUACGGGAGGCAGCAGUGGGGAAUAUUGCACAAUGGGCGCAAGCCUGAUGCAGCGACGCCGCGUGAGGGAUGGAGGCCUUCGGGUUGUGAACCUCUUUCGCCAGUGAAGCAGGCCUGUCCAUUGUGGGUGGGUUGACGGUAGCUGGAUAAGAAGCGCCGGCUAACUACGUG
rnacentral:rRNA from 1 species